GGUGAACGCUGGCGGCGUGCUUAACACAUGCAAGUCGAGCGAAGCGCUUUACUUUGAUUUCUUCGGAUUGAAAAGUGCUGCGACUGAGCGGCGGACGGGUGAGUAACGCGUGGGCAACCUGCCUCAUACAGGGGGAUAACAGUUAGAAAUGACUGCUAAUACCGCAUAAGACCACAGUACCGCAUGGUAUGGUGGUAAAAACUCCGGUGGUAUGAGAUGGGCCCGCGUCUGAUUAGGUAGUUGGUGGGGUAACGGCCUACCAAGCCGACGAUCAGUAGCCGACCUGAGAGGGUGACCGGGCACAUUGGGACUGAGACGCGGCCCAAACUCCUACGGGAGGCAGCAGUGGGGAAUAUUGCACAAUGGGGGAAACCCUGAUGACAGCGACGCCGCGUGAAGGAUGAAGUAUUUCGGUAUGUAAACUUCUAUCAGCAGGGAAGAAAAAUGAACGGUACCUGAACUAAGAA
rnacentral:rRNA from 1 species